rnacentral:tRNA from 1 species
AAAGCUUUAAGUUAAAACUAAACUAUUAACCUUCAAAGUUAAAAAUAAGAUAUUAUAUUAAGCUUUAG